rnacentral:lncRNA from 1 species
AGCCAGACCCAGCACAUGACAAGUGACCCAUGACCCAUGAAACCACCAAGCAAAGUGAACUAUUCUUCGAGUUGAUUUAUUUCUGGCAUCUCAUCACAGAAAUGAACCGCUCACAAAGAAGUGGUCAGAACAUGCAAUCUCAUACUGUAGUCAAGAAACAUAGGUCUGGAGGGUGAAGGCAGACAGUGUCUCUGCUGAGCCUUGGAGAGCCCGGGGCGCAUUCCUUGACUCUUCCUUCUCAGUUUUGAUUGAAGACCUGACCGGAAGCAACUUAAAACAGGGAGCUGAAGCAGCAUGAUAGUUGUGUACUGCUGGGGUUCCUCUCAUCUCA